rnacentral:rRNA from 1 species
UACGUAGGGUGCGAGCGUUACUCGGAAUUACUGGGCGUAAAGCGUGCGCAGGCGGUGAUGUAAGACCGAUGUGAAAUCCCCGGGCUUAACCUGGGAACUGCAUUGGUGACUGCAUUGCUGGAGUAUGGCAGAGGGGGGUGGAAUUCCACGUGUAGCAGUGAAAUGCGUAGAGAUGUGGAGGAACACCGAUGGCGAAGGCAGCCCCCUGGGCCAAUACUGACGCUCAUGCACGAAAGCGUGGGGAGCAAACCGG